rnacentral:lncRNA from 1 species
CACAAUAAAACUUAAAAUAAUCCUUAAGAAGUCCUAAUUAAUAUUAAAAUAAUCACAAAAAAAUCUUAAAUAAAUCUCAAUCAACUUCUAAUUUAAUCCUAGUUGAAACUUUAAUGGACUUCAAUCAAAUCUUAAAUAAAUUUCAAAUCCUAAAUCAAAUCUUGGAUAAAUCCUAAACUCUAAAACAAAUUCUAGACAAAAUCUAUAUUCUAAAUCAAAUCCUAAUUAAAUCCUAAAUCCUAAAUCAAAUCCUAAACAAAUCUUAAUCAAAAUCUCAAUCCUAAAUCAAAUUCUAAUCAAACUCUAAACCCUAAAUUAAAUCCUAAAUAAAUCCUAAACUCUAAAUCAAACCUAGAAUAAUCUUAAAUCCUAAAUCCUAUAAAAAUUUUAGAAAAAAUCAAAUUCUUCAAAUCUUAAAAAAAAUCAAAUCCUAGAAAAAUCCUAAAAAAAAUUAAAUCCUAGAAAAAACCAAAUCCUAGAAAAAACC